ensembl:lncRNA
GGUGGGUUCACCAACGGUCCAGAGGGAAACGGGGGAAGAUACGGACGGUAGUUCACAUAGACGACUUAUUAUGAGUUAUCAUGAAACUAUUAACAGCUAUUCUAUUAAUUUCAUCAAUUAAAAUGUAUGUGUAUUAACUUUACUCAUUUUCAACGGUAAAUGUAUAGGACCCCAAGGAGUGCAGUGUAUGUGUAAACAAACAUCCUUAACGUAGGUAGGGUGUGUCCCUGGUGUCUAUUGGCCAGGAUGCAAUGACGCCGAGGGGUUGGGGGUAUGGUGAUGAGCGCAUGUCAUAAAUAUCGAUGAUGGAUCGGCAUCCUUGAACCAUACAGAAGACCGCUAUUCUGCACCGGUAAACAAGUCUUAGCGUCUGAAAAAAACAUGUGUAUCUGUUGUCCAUAUCUGACUGACUGAUGAAUAGUAUCUCAACAGUGAUUUACGGUGCCGUCGAUGAGGGCGUGAAGCACUAACUGGAUCCACGAUCACGUUCGUGCGAUAUUCGGCGAAAUAAUCAAAGAUCGACGCUUGGCGAUCUGACCAACGUGGGUGCCAGCUGUAGCCAUAUACUCUACCCGUAGCACCUAGCGCGUGUGGUGUAAAACAGUGGGCCCUUGGAGCCGGCCGUCUGCCGAAGAAAAACCUCAAAGAACAAGCCGCGGAUUGGCUCUACCCUGCUCACCACCAUCAAAGGAUCAUCCACAAUAAAAGGGCUAGAAAGGGGGUCGCUCAAAACGCUUUUACUCCUGAGAAUAUAAACUUGAUUCUCCAUGUAGUCAUAAACACUGAAAUCUCCAAGCAAGGGGGUGGAUGGUCUGUGACCGAACAGCCUGUGGCUGAGCCUGUGUCUGAGCCGCCUACAGAGACUGUCACAGUGCAACCGGAUGGGACCAUUCAGCAUGACCCUGAAUGCUCCAACCUUGGAGACCGCCAGUGGCCCCCACUGCCACCACUGACAGCUGAGGACCUCAAGCUCCUUAACGACCUCACG